CCUACGGGAGGCAGCAGUGGGGAAUAUUGCACAAUGGGCGCAAGCCUGAUGCAGCAACCCCGCUGGAGUGAAGAAGCCCUUCGGGUUGUAAAACUUCUUUCCUUAUGGGAGGAAAGACAUGCCGGUACCGUAGGAGGGAGCCGCGGCUAACUACGCGACAGCAGCCGCGGUAAU
rnacentral:rRNA from 1 species